rnacentral:misc_RNA from 1 species
AAAGAGGCAAGAUCCAUGGCCUUUUACUCUAGUUCAAGGGCCACCUGGUACAGGUAAAACACACACAGUGUGGGGAAUGCUGAAUGUCAUCCAUCUUGUUCAGUAUCAGCACUAUUACACAGCAUUGCUCAAGAAACUUGCUCCUGAAAGCUAUAAGCAGAAUAACGAGAAUAACUCUGAUAAUGUUGUUACGGGAUCCAUUGAUGAAGUCUUGCUAAGCAUGGAUCAGAAUCUCUUCAGAACCCUCCCAAAGCUAUGUCCAAAACCUAGAAUGCUUGUCUGUGCUCCUUCAAAUGCUGCUACUGACGAGCUUCUUGCACGUGUUCUUGAUCGUGGAUUCAUUGAUGGUGAGAUGAAAGUUUAU